rnacentral:rRNA from 1 species
UACGUAGGGUGCAAGCGUUAUUCGGAUUCACUGGGCGUAAAGGGUGCGCAGGCGGCCAAGUGUGUGAGGCGUGAAAGCCUGGGGCUUAACUCCAGAAUUGCACCUCAAACUACAUGGCUAGAGCAUUGGAGAGGGUAGCAGAAUUCACGGUGUAGCAGUGAAAUGCGUAGAUAUCUGGAGGAACACCGGUGGCGAAGGCGGCAUCCUGGACCGGUAUUGACGCUGAGGCGCGAAAGCCAGGGGAGCAAACGGG